CCUACGGGUGGCUGCAGUAGGGAAUCUUCCGCAAUGGACGAAAGUCUGACGGAGCAACGCCGCGUGAGUGAUGAAGGUUUUCGGAUCGUAAAGCUCUGUUGUUAGGGAAGAACAAGUACCGUUCGAAUAGGGCGGUACCUUGACGGUACCUAACCAGAAAGCCACGGCUAACUACGUGCCAGCAGCCGCGGUAAUACGUAGGUGGCAAGCGUUGUCCGGAAUUAUUGGGCGUAAAGGGCUCGCAGGCGGUUUCUUAAGUCUGAUGUGAAAGCCCCCGGCUCAACCGGGGAGGGUCAUUGGAAACUGGGGAACUUGAGUGCAGAAGAGGAGAGUGGAAUUCCACGUGUAGCGGUGAAAUGCGUAGAGAUGUGGAGGAACACCAGUGGCGAAGGCGACUCUCUGGUCUGUAACUGACGCUGAGGAGCGAAAGCGUGGGGAGCGAACAGGAUUAGAUACCCGAGUAGUC
rnacentral:rRNA from 1 species